GUACCUAUGAAAAUAAGCUUUCCAUUUUGGUAUGUAGCACAGGGGUCGACCCAUGGCAUUCGAUCCGUGCCAAGUUGCCGCUGUGCCACAUGCUAGAAUAGAAAGGUCUGUGAAGAAUGUUUCAAAGUCGCACUAUAAUAGGGCCACCAAUAUAAGCGCCCUAUGGUAGGGCGACUCAUAUUAUGGCCACCUAUUCUCUAGCUAGCGGUA
rnacentral:lncRNA from 1 species